ensembl:lncRNA
CUUGUAUAGAGACAUAGAACCACCCUCUGCUGGUUCCCUCAUCCUUCAAAAGACCUUGCCACUGAUGCAUGUGGUGUGUUUCACUGGCAUAGAAAAUUUGGUGGCUUGGGGAAGAGCUGUGUAGAGUCACAUUUUAUUAUGUAGAGGAUAGAACAAGCGCUGUACUCUCCCACAUCUAGCUUGGAUCAAACUGCAGGUAAGCUCAGUGGUUUUUUAGUUGUGUCCUCCAUUCUGAUGCUGGCAACUAUGACGUGCCCAAAUUUACCAGCAGAUAUGACGGGAUUCUAGGGGUUUAUUGGGUUUCUAUUCCAUUGUUCACUCUUCCCGAUUAUAUGUGGGUACACCACCUCUUAAACAACCAAAAGAUGAUCUCAUGGCUCAUAUGAGGGCUAUACUAUAUGGCCAAAAUUAUGUGGACACCGGCUCAUCACACCCAUACGUAGGUCUUCUUCAAACUGUUGACACAAUGAAUGUCUUUGUAUGCUGUAAUUUUACAAUUUUCCCUUCAAUGGAACUAAAAGACCCUAACCUGUUCCAGCAUGGCAAUGCCCCUGUGCACAAAACGAGCUCCAUGAAGACAUGGUUUGCUAAGGUUGGUGUGGAAGAACUCGAGUGUCCGUCACAGAGCCCUGACAUCAACUGCACUGAACACCUUUGUGAUGUAAUGGAAUGCUGACUGCACCCCAGCCCUCCUCACCAACAUCAGUGCCUGAUCUCACUAAUGCUUUGUAGCUGAAUGCUGAAUGGAGGUUAUUAUAGAAGCAAAGGGGGAGCAAAAUCUGGAAUGGCACAAAAAGCACAUAUGGGUUUGAUGGUCAGGUGUCCACAAACUUUUGGCAUUUAUUAUAAUGAGUGAGUUGCUUUCAGUUCCAGACUCAGUAUCUCCAACUGAUCCUGCCCCAGUUACUGCCCCAGUUACAGCAACAGUUACUGUAACUGAUCUUGCUCCAAUCUAAAUGUCUAACCCUGAUACUGUUCCAGUCACAGAGUCCCCCAUUGCUUCAACCUCAGUCCCAGCCUCUGCAUAUGAUCCUCCUUGGCUUGGUCUAUGCCCUUGAUCCUUCAUAGGUUUAUGCCCUUGUCUCAGUUUCUUCCACUGAUCCUGCUCCAGUCUCAGACUCUGCCCUUAAUUCUGCCCUAGUUCAGUCCCUGCCCAUGAUCCUGCUCCAGGCUCAAUCUCUGCCCCUAAUCCAGCACCAGUCUCACAAUCUGCCACUAAUUCCCCGUCAGUCUCAAUCCCUGCCCAAUCUUGCCUCAGGGUUAGACUCCUGAUCCCACUCCAAUCUCAGUCUCUGACCCUGAUCCUACACCAGUCUCAUUCUUUGCCAUUGAUCCCACUCCAGUCUCUAUCAUGGAUCCCAUCUCAGUCUCACUUUCCUUCACUGAUCCUGCCGAUGACUUGCAUGGUCACUAAUCUUGAAGCUCCCAAGUAUUAUUAUACCUGUUGCAGGUAUUUCAAGCUUAUUUGGAGGACCACUUAACCACCACUUAACCACAAAUUUUCAUGUAGAGAUUUUAGACAAACAUCUUUACCACUUUGUUGUCAGAUAAUAAAUAUUCAGUAUAUUUAAAAAAAAAUCAAGUACAGUCCAUGUACUGAUUCUAGUAUCACUAGGGUCUAAGAAGCACAGGUUUAUAGUGAAUAGUGCCUGCAGAAUAAGCAUGUGUCAGUAUAGAAUGGGUCAUCA